GCAGUUUAUUCUUGUGGGGAUGGUCAGCUCUGCAGAUUAUAUAAUAGCAUGCAUUUGAAACAAAUCUGCACGUUAUGGAAGUUUGUACAUUAGAACUGGGAAGAAAGGUCAAGCCAAUUUCAUCACUAGCAUGAGACUUGGCAAUAUUGCAAGGUGAAGCGGACGGCACCGGCCGCAUUGAUUUCAUUAGAUGCAGAGGUGAUGGAUUUUAUACUAUUGUUUUUCUGGAAAUGCGUGUGCAUAGUUCCAAUCUCAAGGACCGAUGGAAAUGAAGAUUACACAUUUUUCUUUAAGACUACUAAAAGAUGGUUUGGCAGUUUGGAGAUUGAAGUGCUUUGAAUAGCCGUCGGGAAGUGGUGGUGUAGUGUUGGAUAUUAAAAAUCAGCUAAUAGUGCAUCUUUUUCUUGGAAGU